rnacentral:rRNA from 1 species
CCUACGGGGGGCUGCAGUGGGGAAUAUUGGACAAUGGGGGCAACCCUGAUCCAGCCAUGCCGCGGGUGUGAAGAAGGCCCUCGGGUUGUAAAGCACUUUCAGUGAGGAAGAACGCCUGGUGGUUAAUACCCAUCAGGAAAGACAUCACUCACAGAAGAAGCACCGGCUAACUCCGUGCCAGCAGCCGCGGUAAUACGGAGGGUGCGAGCGUUAAUCGGAAUUACUGGGCGUAAAGCGCGCGUAGGUGGCUUGAUAAGCCGGUUGUGAAAGCCCCGGGCUCAACCUGGGAACGGCAUCCGGAACUGUCAAGCUAGAGUGCAGGAGAGGAAGGUAGAAUUCCCGGUGUAGCGGUGAAAUGCGUAGAGAUCGGGAGGAAUACCAGUGGCGAAGGCGGCCUUCUGGACUGACACUGACACUGAGGUGCGAAAGCGUGGGUAGCAAACAGGAUUAGAUACCCUAGUAGUC